UGCCAGCAGCCGCGGUAAUACGGAGGGUGCGAGCGUUGUCCGGAAUUAUUGGGUUUAAAGGGUGCGUAGGCGGUCUUUUAAGUCAGAGGUGAAAUCCCACAGCUUAACUGUGGAACUGCCUUUGAUACUGGAAGACUUGAAUAUGGUUGAGGUAAGCGGAAUUGAAGGUGUAGCGGUGAAAUGCAUAGAUAUCUUCAAGAACACCAAUUGCGAAGGCAGCUUACUGGCCCAUUAUUGACGCUGAGGCACGAAAGCAUGGGUAGCGAACAGGAUUAGAUA
rnacentral:rRNA from 1 species